GAACGCACCUUGCGCCCUUUGGCUAUUCCGAAGGGCAUGCCUGUUCGAGCGUCAUUAUCACCCCUCAAGCCCUGGCUUGGUGUUGGACUUUAGUUAUAGCUUUGCCUAUCAACUGGUCUCAAAGAUAGUGACGGCGCCCCAGAGGGAACCGGGUACGAGGAGCUUUUUACUAAGCAUGUAUCUGGGACGACUCUGAUGGACGACGGUCUUGUUAUACUUUUACCUAAGUGUUGACCUCGGAUCAGGUAGGAAUACCCGCUGAACUUAAG
rnacentral:misc_RNA from 1 species